GCCUUCGUGGUGUAGUGGUCAGCAUGCUCGACGCGUAACCGAGAGGUCCGUGGUUCGAUUCCCGGGGAAGGCG
rnacentral:tRNA from 1 species